CAGAAAAUAGUUUAUGUAAAAUAUUAAUUUUGGAGAUUAAUGAAAAGAGGUUUCUUUUUUCUGA